AACUGGUGAUGAUAAUCUUAAGGCUUGUUUCUCAGAAACAUUCGCAGUGGCCGACUAAGAGCUUUCGCCUUCGCCAGGCUUGAGAGCUUGUGCUGUCUUUCUCCUUCCUUCCUUGGAUGUCUGAAGUUUCAAUAUUAUACAUAAAUUAUUUCUUUAUUUAUUUAUGGAGAUUUAGUGUGGGUUUCUCAAUGAUGAUUUCAAUAGAUGACGAGUCUGAUGUAAUAUCCAUUCCAUUCAAUCAUGAAGACGAAUCGAGGCAUUUGUCUGAGAGCCAACCCAUAUACUACCCCUUUGUUUUUCACUUUUAAAAAUUUUUGCCAAUUAAUUUUGAGGUUUUUUUUUUUUUAAAUUGGCCGAUGAUUAAAUUCAAAUUAAUGACAAGCAUAUGUCUGAAUAAAUAAUUGUUGUUAACCUUCUCAAUGAGGCCAUAUUCAUUUUAUUCUUUUAAAAUAUAUUUAUGGUUUUUGAUUUAGUUGUUGAUGUUCAGAUGAUGAUCAAUUGCAUAGUUCAAAUGAAUGUUUGUGAUUAGAAAAGUUUUAGUCUUUCGCUCCUAUCUGAUGAACUCAGAAAUAUUUUUUUUUUUAUUUUGAUAAUGAUUGUAUUAAAUUUAAUAAUGGGAUAAUGACGAUUUCAUGUGAUAAGGUCUCGUUCGUCGUAAUGGUGUGAUGAACUCACACCUUGCCGACCAUCCUAUUAUAUCACCACCCAUAAACUGAAUCC
rnacentral:lncRNA from 1 species